GGAGAAGUUGAAGCGCGCGACGCACAUCCCGGCGCGCAGCAGGCGCGAGAUCAUCUCGACGGAUCGCGACGCCGGGCCGAGCGUGCAGACGAUCUUGGUCUUAGGCCGGCGCCGCGCCACGGGCUCCUCCCCCCACGCCAACUCACCGCCCGCCGCCAUCGCUAGAUCUGCGCAAGCAAAGGAGAGGCAGGUGCUGGGAUUCGUUUGGCUGCCUCGCCCCUUCCCCUUGUUUCGCUUUUGGACUGCGCGUUCUUCUUGCCCUCCAAGAAUGAAUGGGGGCGGCGUCGAGAAGGAUUCUUCUUCUGUG
rnacentral:misc_RNA from 1 species